CCUAUGGGGGGCAGCAGUGGGGAAUAUUGCACAAUGGGGGAAACCCUGAUGCAGCGACGCCGCGUGAGUGAAGAAGUAAUUCGUUAUGUAAAGCUCUAUCAGCAGGGAAGAAAAUGACGGUACCUGAGUAAGAAGCCCCGGCUAACUACGUGCCAGCAGCCGCGGUAAUACGUAGGGGGCAAGCGUUAUCCGGAUUUACUGGGUGUAAAGGGAGCGUAGACGGAUUGACAAGUUGGGAGUGAAAACUACGGGCUCAACCCGUAACCUGCUUUCA
rnacentral:rRNA from 1 species